rnacentral:rRNA from 2 species
UACGAAGGGGGCUAGCGUUGUUCGGAAUCACUGGGCGUAAAGCGCACGCAGGCGGAUCGUUAAGUCAGGGGUGAAAUCCCGAGGCUCAACCUCGGAACUGCCUCUGAUACUGGCGAUCUUCGAGUCCGGGAGAGGUGAGUGGAACUCCGAGUGUAGAGGUGAAAUUCGUAGAUAUUCGGAAGAACACCAGUGGCGAAGGCGGCUCACUGGCCCGGUACUGACGCUCAGGUGCGAAAGCGUGGGGAGCAAACAGG